GAUGAAGAACGUAGUGAAAUGCGAUAAGUAAUGUGAAUUGCAGAAUUCAGUGAAUCAUCGAAUCUUUGAACGCACCUUGCGCCCUUUGGCCAUUCCGAAGGGCAUGCCUGUUUGAGUAUCAUGAACACCUCAACUCUUUAUGGUUUUCCAUGAUGAGCUUGGCCUCUGGGGGUUUUGCUGGCUCACAGUCGGCUCCUCUAAAAUGAAUCAGCUUACCAGUGUUUGGUGGGUAUCAUGGGUGUGAUAACUAUCUACGCUUGUGGUUUUUCCACCAGGUAACCUUCAGCAGUGGAGGUUCGCUGGAGCUCAUAGAUGUCUCUCCUCAGUGAGGACAGCCCUUUGAAUGUUUGAUCUCAAAUCAGGUAGGACUACCCGCUGAACUUAAGCAUAUCAAUAAGCGGAGGA
rnacentral:misc_RNA from 1 species